GACGUAGGGCGCGAGCGUUGUCCGGAUUUAUUGGGCGUAAAGAGCUCGUAGGCGGCUUGUCGCGUCGUCCGUGAAAACCCACAGCUCAACUGUGGGCUUGCGGUCGAUACGGGCAGGCUAGAGUUCGGUAGGGGAGACUGGAAUUCCUGGUGUAGCGGUGAAAUGCGCAGAUAUCAGGAGGAACACCGGUGGCGAAGGCGGGUCUCUGGGCCGAUACUGACGCUGAGGCACGAAAGCCAGGGGAGCAAACGGG
rnacentral:rRNA from 1 species